rnacentral:rRNA from 1 species
AUUGAACGCUGGCGGCAGGCCUAACACAUGCAAGUCGAGCGGCAGCGGGAAAGUAGCUUGCUACUUUUGCCGGCGAGCGGCGGACGGGUGAGUAAUGCCUGGGAAAUUGCCCAGUCGAGGGGGAUAACAGUUGGAAACGACUGCUAAUACCGCAUACGCCCUACGGGGGAAAGCAGGGGACCUUCGGGCCUUUCGGGCUUGGAUAUGCCCAGGUGGGAUUAGGUAGUUGGUGAGGUAAUGGCUCAUCAAGGCGAGGAUCCCUAGCUGGUCUGAGAGGAUGACCAGCCACACUGGAACUGAGACACGGUCCAGACUCCUACGGGAGGCAGCAGUGGGGAAUAUUGCACAAUGGGGGAAACCCUGAUGCAGCCAUGCCGCGUGUGUGAAGAAGGCCUUCGGGUUGUAAAGCACUUUCAGCGAGGAGGAAAGGUUGAUGCCUAAUACGUAUCAACUGUGACGUUACUCGCAGAAGAAGCACCGGCUAACUCCGUGCCAGCAGCCGCAGUAAUAC